rnacentral:sRNA from 1 species
UGUAUCUGAAGCCUGACGAGGAUGAGAACCUCCGGGGGCAAGAGGUUCGACCCGAGCGAAGCGAGAGAACGUUGCGUCAGCAACGGCCCGCAGGGCGAGCCACGCAGU